CAUGACAGCAAAAAUAACUUUAAGCACAACUUAAUAAUAAUAGAUCACCAAUUUUAGUUAAUAAUUUUAUGCUGUACUCUUGGGUGAGGGAAGACUCGGACACCCAAUAUGAGAUCAGCAAGCUAUGUUUAUUGCAGAGAGUAUCAGACACUUAUACAGCACAUAAUAAGCUUAUGAAUAUUCUGUAAGCCAAGCGAUCUAUUGGUUAAACUAUACCAUCAACUCUUCCUCAUUCCUUUGGGCCUACAUUCCCUAUUUCCCACGUCUCUCUGUCUACUUGUUAUCCUACCCAGCUAGGCCCAGGCACACGCUAUCUUGCAGGUGCAAAACUCAAAAAUACCUGUGUUCGGUACUUUCCCAGCUCCUGGUCGGCUAACGAGCGAAUGUCUGCGUGACCUCUGUCAUGGAGCCAUUUCUCCACACUAUACUAUCAAAGUUUAAAGGUAAAUUAUUAUAUAUUAGGAGAUGGUGUAAAGUGUAUGUUGUAAUGUGUAGGAUAUAUACAAAGAUACGUACUUGAAAGUCCGUAGAGGAAACAAAUUUUUACGCCUUCUGUUUGACUGUUUGUCAUAUAUUUGGUUUUAUUUCCCAGGGAUCAGUGAAUUUUAACUCUAGAGUCCUCUAUGCUAAGGAUGCUCAGCUUACAGAUGAUGAAAUGUUCAGUAAUGUAUUUGCUGGAGCUGUGCUUACCCAAGGUUUGGGUAAAACAAGCUUUGGGUUCCCUCUGUCUCACUGGGAGUUGCCCAAUUCAGUUGCAUCUGGUGAAAUUCACCCUGAGACCUUACAGAACCAGCUCCAACUACGUGAGAGCCAUUUGCAGUUCUCUCCAGACGCCUGGAGAAUGGGCGACGUUUCUGAGGAUCCGGCGAGCGUGCUUCUGUCAAAACUCAGUCUGUGAAAUUUCUGGGGAAAACCCUUCUGUGUCCUGAAGGGUUCAAACUCUGGUGAGGAUCCAGUUAUCAGGUGCUCACCUGGAUGGUUCCAGCUGCCAAAGGUAACACUUGUACUCUUGCCCUGUAGUUUACAUCUAUUGUAUUUUUGUUAUUUUGCAGGAUUUUUUGUCUUUGCAAAAUAUUGUGCAUUUCACUCUUUGGAACCUCUCAGAUGGUUCUUUGGUGCAGCACCACCCCAUGGGACACUUGGCUGCUGUCCUGAAGGGGUUGGUCGCUAGAAUUGUGAAUCCUGGAGAGUUUAUAAGUCUUCUGUCCCCAGGGAGGUAUCAUGCUUUGUUUACUUUUGUUCUGUUGGUUAGGUGCUGCUUCUCGUUGCAAGUACGAAUUUCAAACUGCCCUGUUCUUAUUUUAACUGUUUUCCUGGUUCUCUCUGUCCGGCAGGGAAAGACUCUCGUAUCCUUGUCGUCGGGCUCGGUGCUGUCCAAGAAGAUACAGAGACUAAAAAAAUCAUAAGAAGCAAAAUAUGACUGCAGGGAAAAGAAGCUGGAGAGAACAGAAGACUCAUCACGGCGGGACAGCGUGAGGACUGAAAGUGUAAGAAGAUGCGGAGGGAAAGAGAGAAUCUGACAGGAGCAGCGAACGCACGAGUGCACGAAUUUUGCUUUUUGCUUGGAUGUAAACUCAGGAGUUGAAAGGAAUUUGGGAGUGAGAAGGGACAUUUCAGAAGGAGAAGAAGAAAAAGAAGUUGUUGUUGUUGCUACAGUCCUGGCAAAAGCUUUUGUUCUAGCUAAUAAAAGAAGUUAGUUUAAAAAACAAA